CCUGGCCCCCAUAUGGAACUUUUACCCUAUGUGCGAAAAAGUCUGAGAAAAAGAUCAAUCCGAUUUGUAUGAGAAAAGUCAUGGGAAUCCAUUUCUUAGGUGACCCAUCUUGCCAAUCCUUACCCUAAUAUUGAGCACCACUAUCAUCACUCAAAAAAAUCGAAGCUUUUUUGCUGCACAGCUGAUGUUUGCGAUGUUUGUUCAAUGUACCCAUUAUACUCGCGAGAGCGAGAAUCCAAAGCAAAAAUGAUGUCAUUUUGUCAACCACUCCACCCAUGCCAAGUGUCGCGAAAAUUGCAACUGGGUACCGUAAGUUGACUCUAUACGCGAAUUAGGCGACAAGCAAGGUGCCGCCAUUAAAUUCAAAUUUCUCAAGUAGAAUCAAUUCGCACCAAACCAAACAACUAAAAUGCAAUACGGUACCGCAACGCCGACCAAUUCAUUCUGUGAAUAUGAUUUGUCGCUCGCAGAAAUUGUUGGACUGUCGCCAGCUACAUUGGAGGAGCAUUUCAAUGCCAAGACAUUCGUAGCUAAAAGAUACCCGCAUAGCUAAAAACGCUUUGAUAGGUUGUCCAAACAAUAUGUAAAACAUAAGUUAUACGUUAACUGUUUCCGUUAUUGUAGCCUAUUUGUUUGACUAUAAAUAUUUGUCAGUUAUUUACUGUAUCCCACCCUACAUCUACUAUUCCAUUACCGGUUAACGUACAGCUUGAUGUUAUCAAUUAGUUUUAUAUAAUCCACAUUUGAAAAUUAUGAACAAAUCGAUCAUAUAAAAACAUAUGUGGGUUGUAUCACAAAUGGUAACAUUUUGGGAAAACAUUCAUGGAUGGUUACAUACUGUUCACAAAACUGAAACAGUUGCCACACAUACAUUGAACAUUUUAUGGUUUCAGAUUAAACAUACCGUAAGUGGUAUGGUUAUGUGGCACUUGUGUGCGUUUGGCUAGUUCGGUGAAAUUUUUUCACCAGUCCGUUGUCAUAUUUGUUUUCAUUUCUUCGAAAAGCAUUUCGGGAGUCCCUGCAAGCUGUUGCAAAAUAUUCUCAGAAUUCCAUAAAUACGAUACAACAAUGCCACAAAACUCUGCGGGGACAUUAUUACGUCUAUCGAUGCUGGGCCUUAGAGCAAAAAAUGGAUCGCUGAACUUGAUUUUAGACCGAUUCGCAGCUUCCAGCAGUUGAGCAGUGAUGUUUUUGGUGAGGCUCAUUCGACGCAAUAAAGUUCCGGAGAUAGGAAACCUUGCCGCUGAAUGAGACGAGCCCAGCUGAAAUAAUUUUGUUUCAUUUUGCUUGGCUGUUAAAAUGUUGACUUUAGAUCGUUUAAAUACAUGUAAUGCUAAAAUA